UACGUAGGGUCCGAGCGUUGUCCGGAAUUACUGGGCGUAAAGAGCUCGUAGGUGGUUUGUCGCGUUGUUCGUGAAAACUCACAGCUUAACUGUGGGCGUGCGGGCGAUACGGGCAGACUGGAGUACUGCAGGGGAGACUGGAAUUCCUGGUGGUAGCGGUGGAAUGCGCAGAUAUCAGGAGGGAACACCGGUGGCGAAGGCGGGUCUCUGGGCAGUAACUGACGCUGGAGGAGCGAAAGCGUGGGGAGCGAACAGG
rnacentral:rRNA from 1 species